UGGUGUUGAUUGCGGUGAGGGUCCACCCGUUCCCAUCCCGAACACGGAAGUUAAGCUCACCUGCGCCGAAAAUACUUGUCUGGAGACGGACCGGGAAGAUAGGUAACGCCGACACA
rnacentral:rRNA from 4 species